rnacentral:rRNA from 1 species
UACGUAGGGUGCGAGCGUUAAUCGGAAUUACUGGGCGUAAAGCGUGCGCAGGCGGUUGUGCAAGACAGGUGUGAAAUCCCCGGGCUCAACCUGGGAACUGCAUUUGUGACUGCAUGGCCAGAGUACGGUAGAGGGGGAUGGAAUUCCGCGUGUAGCAGUGAAAUGCGUAGAUAUGCGGGGGAACACCGAUGGCGAAGGCAAUCCCCUGGACCUGUACUGACGCUCAUGCACGAAAGCGUGGGGAGCAAACAGG